UGUGCAGGCCCCGCCCCUCACACCUGCGCAGGCCCCGCCCCCGGGGCCCCGCCUCCCCCCCGCCCCCCGCGCCCGUAAAUGCCGGCGGGUCCGCGCCCGCUCCGCUCUCUGCGGUGGGGGCUCGGCUCGGCUCGGCUCGGCUCGGCUCGGCUCGGCUCGGCUCGGCUCGGCGCGGCUCGGCUCGGCUCGGCUCGGCUCGGCUCGGCUCGGCUCGGCUCGGCGCGGCUCGGCUCGGCUCGGAGCGCUGCCGGAGAUCGGAGCGGGGCUGCUGCCGCCGCUGCGCGGAGCCCGAGGCGCUCAGAGCCAAGCAGUCAGUCCAACAUUCCUGUCUACUCUGGUGCCAGCCACUGUCUUGCGUUCCAACUCGCUCCUCAGAUGGAAAAAGGCAGGCAGGAAUGUCAGGAAGCAUAUUUAAUAGAGAAGGAAUCUUGAACUGCAUUCAAGCACUGCCCUACUCUUCCUCAGGAUUGGGACCAUAACUGCUGAAUGCUACUGGCAGUGAGGCUUCUUCCCAGCUGGGUGAUCCUGUGUCCCAGGCUCCGCAGUGUGGCUGGACACACAGGUAAGGCUAGGGCUCAAAAACUGUUGGCAGUGAGGUGGAAGUUUGUUUUGGUAAGCGGUGUCAUCUUGCCUGGAUGCUGGGGAGCAGGCUGGGGCAGAGCUGCAGGUCAGUGGAACCAGCCCUGCUCCAGCAGUGCUGUCACCAUGUCACUGCACUGGGGCAAGCACAAAUCUGUCACCUUUAAUCUGCCAGAAAACAGAUGCAACUCAGACAUUAUAGAUUAGGCAUGCAACAUGUCACAGGUAACAAAAUGGAUUAGAUAGCAGUGUAUAUUAAAUAAAUCUUUGUAAGUAAAAAAGGAAUCACAGAAACAAUUACUGAGGAACAUGUCUGCAGGCUCCGGUCUAGAGCUGGUGGGGUUUUACACAGCAGCAGCCCAAUUCACCAUAGAAGGACGUGUAGUGGGAAGGAGUAAAAUCCCAGUCACUUUAUGCUCAAACCAGGUCUGCCUUCCCGGUGGUACAGAAAGUGCCUUCAGAGUUGGUGCUGUUAGAAAUGAACAACCCCAGUGUUAAUUAGGUUCAUUAGUAAAUGCACACAAACAGGAGCCAGAGCAGAGCUGUGUUCCAGAGUGCCAGAUUUCAUUUGGAAUGCCUCCAUUGCAAAUAGGAAUGCAGAAACGAUGGAAAACAAAUCACUGUACAGAGAGAAUGACAGGGCUCAGCCUGUUCUCAAAGGCCAAAUGCCAGCCCAGAUGCUUUGUAGCACACGUACAGCUUGGCAGUAAGGAGGCAGUUUCAGAGAUCUAGAACAGAGACCUGGACAUGCUGUGUCAGGGCUCUGCUGUGCCUCGACACUCUUCUAGCACUUGUACAAAAAUGCAACAUCCAGCCCAUCCUUCUGGAUACAGAACAACAGUGAUGUGCUUAAUGAAGAGAGUUGCUUUUGAGAGACAGCCUGUGGAGAGAAGGCUGCCAACAGCUUUCUCCUACUCUCCUGGUUUAGGAACACAAGGCUCAA